rnacentral:sRNA from 1 species
ACUGGGCUAAAUCCCCAACCCUGACUCUGGAUACUUAACUGAAUCCCCAAGGCAUAUCCUGGGAAACUGCUUGGAGGAUUGGGAAGAUGUCACAGGGUUGCAGAUUGGAUAAUCUAUGUGCAGACCACAGUGUACUAAAUCAUUUGGGUCCCGUGAAAGUUUACUUACACACGGACAGCAUUUUCUCUGUACUUGUUCUUCUGCCAUGCUCGCAGCCUGCAGCGUCGUGGGUAUUUGCAGCUAACUUUAGCAAACUGUUUGCAUUGGUACCCGUGGACUCCUAGUUGGAGCUGAACAGCUUUUCCUGAUGGUAUGGUAAAGUGGGAAAACUUAAAUCCACAUGUCUUCAUUAUUUUAUGAGACAUUGAAAAACAUCGUCACAAAAUUUGUGAAAAUUUUGGCUAGGAUUCUUUGCAGGGAAAAUGUAUAUGCUCACUUACUUUGUAGACUUCAUAUUACCCCAUAUGAGCACACAAAUGCACACACACACAC